UACGUAGGGUGCAAGCGUUGUCCGGAAUUACUGGGCGUAAAGGGCUCGUAGGUGGCCAACUAAGUCAUACGUGAAAUCCCUCGGCUUAACCGGGGAACUGCGUCUGAUACUGGAUGGCUUGAGGUUGGGAGAGGGAUGCGGAAUUCCAGGUGUAGCGGUGAAAUGCGUAGAUAUCUGGAGGAACACCGGUGGCGAAGGCGGCGUUCUGGACUGUUUCUGACACUGAUAAACGAAAGCCAGGGGAGCAAACGGGG
rnacentral:rRNA from 1 species